rnacentral:lncRNA from 1 species
GGGUAACCAUGACAUAUUGCUAGGUGUCACUCAUGGUUUGUGGAAGCCCUAAACGUGUAUAAACACUAAAGGGAGAAUUGAAAGUAAGUUUCAAUUCACAAUCGAUUUGAAAGAGUUCUAAUUGCCCACUGCCUCGCUAAAAGGAACCUAAUGGAUCGUACACCGUGUAAGGUAGAGAUUGAAGAAACAACGGAGAUGAGUAAGAAUAAUUAAAUGGUUUAAUUAUUUAUGGCAAGGAUUAAUUACUAUGUUAAUUAAUCAAACGAAUAAGUUCGUUAAAGACCACGGGAUAGUAUUGGACCUUAAGGCCCAAUGGGCUUUGAACGUCAAGUCCAUUGACUUAAGUUGUAUGAAAACUUAAUGAAUAAUAAUUCACAAAGGCCCAAAUAGCAAAAUAAUACCCUAAGGCCGGCCAUUUAGAGGAAGGGUAGUGAACUUGCUUUAAUUACAAGUUUGCCACUCCAAUGAAUAAAGGUAUAAAUAUGACUUUAUAGCCAAAAUUCAUUUAGGGGUUUCUUUUAGAGAAUUGGAGAGAACAUAUCUCUCUCUUUUCUCUCUAAGAGG